GAGCAUUCUCUAGACAAGGGACCAGUCACAGGUGGGUCCCAGCAUGGAGCUCCGCCACAGAGCCUUCAGUACAGACAGGGACCUGGUCAUGGAGCUCUGUCACACAGCUCACAGUACUACUUAUCAGAGUUGGGGUCAACUCCAUUUCAAAUCAAUCAAUGAUGGAAUUGGAAUUUCUGUUCACUAAAAUAGAAUUGUAGUUUUCUUUUAAUUGAAUUGUAAAAUGAAGCUGAACCCUGGUGUGGAAACAUUCUCCAGUCACCACACACUGAAGGACGUGAAGAGGACGGUUGGCGUAUCCAGACCCUCUAGCAGUCCAGUUUGAUUGAGUUUGUUGAUUAUAAACACUUUUUUUCCUGUGUUGUUUACCAGGGUUUCUGGAAAGGGAAGUUGCUCUAUAUCGAUUUGUUUUAGGAAUUGUGCUAGCUGACUGUUCUAGUGAGUGAAGAGCCAGCUGUUUUGAGUCUCGUCUGACCCGCUGUCUCUCUGUGUGGCCACCACGGUGUUCAGUAAGCUGUGGAGAGGGGCUUCGACAGAGACAGGUUAUCUGACCCGCUGUCUCUCUGUGUGGCCACCACGGUGUUCAGUAAGCUGUGGAGAGGGGAUUCGACAGAGACAGGUUAUCUGACCCGCUGUCUCUCUGUGUGGCCACCACAGUGUUCAGUAAGCUGUGGAGAGGGGAUUCGACAGAGACAGGUUAUCUGACCCGCUGUCUCUCUGUGUGGCCACCACGGUGUUCAGUAAGCUGUGGAGAGGGGAUUCGACAGAGACAGGUUAUCUGACCCGCUGUCUCUCUGUGUGGCCACCACAGUGUUCAGUAAGCUGUGGAGAGGGGAUUCGACAGAGACAGGUUAUCUGACCCGCUGUCUCUCUGUGUGGCCACCACAGUGUUCAGUAAGCUGUGGAGAGGGGAUUCGACAGAGACAGGUUAUCUGACCCGCUGUCUCUCUGUGUGGCCACCACGGUGUUCAGUAAGCUGUGGAGAGGGGAUUCGACAGAGACAGGUUAUCUGACCCGCUGUCUCUCUGUGUGGCCACCACAGUGUUCAGUAAGCUGUGGAGAGGGGAUUCGACAGAGACAGGUUAUCUGACCCGCUGUCUCUCUGUGUGGCCACCACAGUGUUCAGUAAGCUGUGGAGAGGGGAUUCGACAGAGACAGGUUAUCUGACCCGCUGUCUCUCUGUGUGGCCACCACGGUGUUCAGUAAGCUGUGGAGAGGGGAUUCGACAGAGAGAGGUUAUCUGACCCGCUGUCUCUCUGUGUGGCCACCACAGUGUUCAGUAAGCUGUGGAGAGGGGAUUCGACAGAGACAGGUUAUCUGACCCGCUGUCUCUCUGUGUGGCCACCACAGUGUUCAGUAAGCUGUGGAGAGGGGAUUCGACAGAGACAGGUUAUCUGACCCGCUGUCUCUCUGUGUGGCCACCACAGUGUUCAGUAAGCUGUGGAGAGGGGAUUCGACAGAGACAGGUGGUGUGUAGAGCCACAGACAACACCAUCGGCCAGUGUGAGGGAGACAAGCCUGAAACUGUCCUCAUCUGUAAACUGAGCCCGUGUCCAGGUAGAGUACAUACACACACAUGCAUGCUCUUACACACACACACACA